AUGACAGGGCUGAGACCUCUCCACAGCACAUCUGAUAUUGGGAUCGAUGAAGAUCAGAUGUGCAAAUCACAAUGGGCUCCGGAAAGCCCUAGACUGUGUCAUUCAAGGAAGCUGUGACUCAGCCUGAAGGAUUUCUGUGGUCAAUGGAACGUGCCCAGCUCAUGUGUAGAGCAGGAGGAAGUGCUCCUGCUCCAGAAUUCCCCAGAAACAAAGCAACCUUCAAGCAAUGACAUCUGAAAGUUGAAGGACAGAUACUUCAGCUCUGUCAGUAUGUUGUAUGGGACAACUCAGUCCCUACAUAGUCUAAGGGGUCCAGCAUGAUUAAUCUCCUACAGCAAUAAAUAACCUGCUAAUAGAUGCACUCUGAUUGGCAUCCUUCCUUUCUCUCCCUCGCAUUCCCACAUCCCUAAAGGUACUUUCUGGUAGAUACUUUCUAGCAUCUUCCCACGCACUCUCUCCACCCAAAUUCUUGUUUAUAGGUCUGCUUGUUGGGGACAGAACAGAAACAACAUCACCUCCCACUUUCUUACUUGCUGCCUUAAAAAUAAUGAUUUCCCUUCCUUAAUUAUUAUCUUCCCAACAAGAUUAUAAGCUCCCCUGGUGCAGAGCAUACUGCUGGUCUGUGAGCUAUUUGUUGGUCUGUGAGCCAUUUGUCACUGCAAUGAGAUAAGUACAUAAAUCAAGAGUAAGUGUUUAGAAAUUCUUAUAGCAAUUUUCCAUCGCCAGAACAUCCAACCAUGUGAUCAGUGGGCUUACCCAGUGAACAGGCAGGGACCAGUUAGAUGAGUCCCGUGAUACAUGUUGUCUGCUAGUCACGUGCAGGAUAACCAUGUAGCAGACAUGAAGAGGUGCGAAACUUUAUAAAAGGGUCCUUCCCCACAGAUAACUUCAAAAUCAC
rnacentral:lncRNA from 1 species